rnacentral:rRNA from 1 species
CCUUAGGAUAGCUGCAACCGGUUAAGAGUUUUAUCAGGUAAAGCGAAUGAUUAGAGGAUUCGGGGACGGAAUGUCCUCGACCUAUUCUCAAACUUUAAAUGGGUAAGAACCCGGGGUUGCUUAAUUGAACCCUGCGGUCGAAUCUCGGUUGCUAGUGGGCCAGUCCGGGUAAGCUGGACUGGCGAUGCGGGAUGAUCCGAACGCUGAGUUAAAGUGCCUAACUGCUCGCUCACCUAGAUCCCACAAAAGGUGUUGGUUCAUCCAGACAGCAGGACGGUGGCCAUGGAAGUCGGAACCCGCUAAGGAGUGUGUAACAACUCACCUGCCGAAUGAAGCAGCCCCGAAAAUGG